AUUGAACGCUGGCGGCAGGCCUAACACAUGCAAGUCGAACGGUAACAGGAAGAAGCUUGCUUCUUUGCUGACGAGUGGCGGACGGGUGAGUAAUGUCUGGGAAACUGCCUGAUGGAGGGGGAUAACUACUGGAAACGGUAGCUAAUACCGCAUAACGUCGCAAGACCAAAGAGGGGGAGCUUCGGGCCUCUUGCCAUCGGAUGUGCCCAGAUGGGUUUAGUUAGUAGGUGGGGUAACGGCUCACCUAGGCGACGAUCCCUAGCUGGUCUGAGAGGAUGACAAGCCACACUGGACCUGAGACACGGUCCAGACUCCUACGGGAGGCAGCAGUGGGGAAUAUUGCACAAUGGGCGAAAGCCUGAUGCAGCCAUGCCGCGUGUAUGAAGAAGGCCUUCGGGUUGUAAAGUCCUUUCAGCGGGGAGGAAGGGAGUAAAGUUAAUACCUUUGCUCAUGGACGUUACCCGCAGAAGAAACACCGGCUAACUCCGU
rnacentral:rRNA from 1 species